GAUUAACGCUGGCGGCGUGCAUAACACAUGCAAGUCGAACGAUGAAGAUUAUUAGACUUCUUCGGAAUGAAAAUAAUUGGAUUAGUGGCGGACGGGUGAGUAACGCGUGAGUAACCUGCCUUACACAAGGGGAUAGCCGUUGGAAACGACGAAUAAUACCCUAUGAAACUAUCACUUCGCAUGAAGCGAUAGUCAAAGUGUUAGCGGUGUAAGAUGGACUUGCGUCUGAUUAGCUAGUUGGUGAGAAAAAAGCCCACCAAGGCAACGAUCAGUAGCCGGCUUGAGAGAGUGUACGGCCACAUUGGGACUGAGACACGGCCCAGACUCCUACGGGAGGCAGCAGUGGGGAAUUUUGCACAAUGGGGGAAACCCUGAUGCAGCGACGCCGCGUGAUUGAGAAGGCCUUCGGGUUGUAAAAAUCUUUUGUAUAGGAAGAAAAUGACAGUACUAUACGAAUAAGGUCCGGCUAAUUACGUG
rnacentral:rRNA from 1 species